AGUCUACUGGCAAGGAAGCUAUCACCAUCACGAAGGUGGUUUUCCCAGGGCAAGGCUGACCCAUUGCCCUGCGGAUCUGCUGACCCCUGCACUUUCCCCACCUGGGGGAAACUCCACUGCAUAAUUUGUAUUGGUGGGGGGCUGUGUAUGCACCUUCCCCCC
rnacentral:snRNA from 1 species